CCUACGGGCGGCAGCAGUGGGGAAUAUUGGACAAUGGGCGAAAGCCUGAUCCAGCCAUGCCGCGUGUGUGAAGAAGGCCUUCGGGUUGUAAAGCACUUUCAGUGGGGAAGAAAGCCUUAGGGCUAAUACCCUCGAGGAAGGACAUCACCCACAGAAGAAGCACCGGCUAACUCCGUGCCAGCAGCCGCGGUAAUACGGAGGGUGCGAGCGUUAAUCGGAAUUACUGGGCGUAAAGCGCGCGUAGGCGGUCUGAUAAGCCGGUUGUGAAAGCCCCGGGCUCAACCUGGGAACGGCAUCCGGAACUGUCAGGCUAGAGUGCAGGAGAGGAAGGUAGAAUUCCAGGUGUAGCGGUGAAAUGCGUAGAGAUAGGGAGGAAUACCAGUGGCGAAGGCGGCCUUCUGGACUGACACUGACGCUGAGGUGCGAAAGCGUGGGUAGCAAACAGGAUUAGAUACCCCAGUAGUC
rnacentral:rRNA from 1 species